GACGAACGCUGGCGGCGUGCUUAACACAUGCAAGUCGAACGGAAAGGCCCUGCUUUUGUGGGGUGCGCGAGUGGCGAACGGGUGAGUAACACGUGAGUAACCUGCCCUUGACUUUGGGAUAACUUCAGGAAACUUGGGCUAAUACCGGAUAGGAGCUCCUGCUGCAUGGUGGGGGUGGGAAAGUUUCGGCGGUUGGGGAUGGACUCGCGGCUUAUCAGCUUGUUGGUGGGGUAGUGGCUUACCAAGGCUUUGACGGGUAGCCGGCCUGAGAGGGUGACCGGCCCAAUCGGGCCUGGGCUGCGGCCCAGCCUCCUACGGGAGGCAGCGGUGGAGAAUAUAGCCCAAUGGGCGGAAGCCUGAUCCAGCAACGCCGCGUCCGGGAUGACGGCAUUCGGGUUGUAAAGCGCUUUCGCCUGUGACGAAGCGUGAGUGACGGUACUGGGUAAAGAAGCACCGGCUAACUACGUG
rnacentral:rRNA from 1 species